AAAAUAAUGAAACCAAAGAUGGUUUAACUGAUGGAGCAAAGCUGCUUCACUCAAAUGAAGGAAAUCCCGAGAAGGCAACUGCCUCAGAAAGACCAAAAGUUGUGGCAUCUGUACCUGUUCAAAAUCAAGUAGCGGCUCAGAAACUUCUCCAGAAAACAAGUCAGCCUAGUUUUGGUGAUCGCAAUUCUAGAUUUCAGAGGCGUAGGGGAAAGGAUACAGAAGAUGACUCAUCUUUGCUCACCCUUGAUGAGUGGGAAAGGAGGAAAACAGGAGGCAAUCUUCAGACAACACAUGAGCACCACCACUACACUGAAGAUGAGGAGCUUGCAAGACAGCUGCAGGAGCAAUUUGAUUUGGAGGAAAACCAUGUACAAAAUGAUCCGAUAUGAUGGAUGCUAAAAGUAUAAAGAUAAGCAUGUUCAGUUUCGAAAGAGAUGAUGCUGGAGCUUCCAGUCGAACUGAAU